rnacentral:tRNA from 1 species
UCCAGGGUAGCCUAGUGGACAUGGCAUCUGCCCGGUAAGCCUAACACUGUGGGUUCGUUUCCCAUCCCUGGAC